rnacentral:rRNA from 1 species
AGAGUUUGAUCCUGGCUCAGAGCGAACGCUGGCGGCGUGCUUAACACAUGCAAGUCGAGUGCGCAGUCUUCUGUAGCAAUACAGGAGAUCGGCGCACGGCGCACGGGUGCGUAACACGUGGGUAACCUGCCCUCCAAAGGGGGAUAACCCGCCGAAAGGCGGGCUAAUACCGCAUGACAUUCCGGUGGCUUCGGCCGCUGGAAUCAAAGCCCGCAAGGGCGUUGGAGGAGGGGCCCGCGGCCGAUUAGCUUGUUGGCGAGGUAAUGGCUCACCAAGGCUUUGAUCGGUAGCCGGUCUGAGAGGAUGGCCGGCCACACUGGAACUGAGACACGGUCCAGACUCCUACGGGAGGCAGCAGUGGGGAAUCUUGCGCAAUGGGCGAAAGCCUGACGCAGCGACGCCGCGUGGGGGAUGAAGCUUCUCGGAGUGUAAACCCCUUUCGACCCGGACGAAACGCCCGCAAGGGCUUGACGGUACGGGUAUAAGAAGCCCCGGCUAACUACGUGCCAGCAGCCGCGGUAAGACGUAGGGGGCCAGCGUUGCUCGGAAUUACUGGGCGUAAAGGGUUCGUAGGCGGUGCGGUAAGUCGGAAGUGAAAUCUCUGGGCUUAACUCAGAGGCUGCUUUCGAAACUGCCGUGCUAGAGUGCGGGAGAGGCGAGUGGAAUUACAGGUGUAGCGGUGAAAUGCGUAGAUAUCUGUAGGAACACCCGUGGCGAAGGCGGCUCGCUGGACCGCAACUGACGCUGAGGAACGAAAGCUAGGGGAGCAAACAGGAUUAGAUACCCCAGUAGUCC